UACGUAGGGUGCAAGCGUUAUCCGGAAUUAUUGGGCGUAAAGAGCUCGUAGGCGGUUUGUCGCGUCUGCUGUGAAAACUGGAGGCUCAACCUCCAGCCUGCAGUGGGUACGGGCAGACUAGAGUGCGGUAGGGGAGAUUGGAAUUCCUGGUGUAGCGGUGGGAUGCGCAGAUAUCAGGAGGAACACCGGUGGCGAAGGCGGGUCUCUGGGCCGUAACUGACGCUGAGGAGCGAAAGCAUGGGGAGCGAACAGG
rnacentral:rRNA from 1 species